rnacentral:ncRNA from 1 species
UAGGCUGACUCAAAAGUACCCGACGGACAGGCUGCCCAUGAGAAAACACUCACAGGCCUCUUAACAGCGUUGGCAGGUGCCAACCUGAUCUAUGGUC